CAGGGAGAAAAAAACAAUCCUGGUGGUUGACAUCAGGAAGGCGAAGCCACGGAGUUAGAACAGAAUUCUUCCAAAGUAUAUGUAAGCAAAAUACUAACCCACAUUGGUCCUCAUCUUUCACGGGAGAGGCAAAGAGCUGGGCUGCACGAUCUGCCUGCGUCGGCACAGAAUUUUCCUCUCCCUUCUGGACCGCAAGUACUACUUAAGAUUUGUUUUGGAUCCAUCUGGACAUUCUUCCAGAAAGUCAGCCUUAGCCCCAGCACAGACAUAUUUAGGGUUAAAGGCAUCCACGUUUAUAAGAAGUAAAGGCCAACUAUGAUUCCUCACUAUGUGGUAUAAAAAGAACUCUACCUUCUGGAAAAUAAAG